ACACUGGGAGUGGGUGAGACGGAUGCCAGGAAUCACACGGGCACCACGAUUUCAGGGUAGAGCAGUGCUUACAAAGCAGUACAUCCCGUUUCCUUAUUUCAGUUGUAUGACCGUUCUAUCAACAGAACUCUUUGCGGGGCCCUGUAAAUCUUCCAGCCUCUCCUCACUGCCACACCUAACCUCAGAUUCAGCUACAGGCAGACUGCAGGGAGACAGAUAGAGAGAUGAUGAAACAUCAUCUUUGAAAGGAACAAUCCAACAGUACCAUUCAGUCAAUAGGACAUGUCAAUAAAACUUUAACAGAAUGAA